AUGCCUCAUUAAUGUUAAUAAAUAGGUAAACAUAUUCUAGGGUAUAUUGACUUUAGGCUCAUGUUGAGGAUUUGCUAGAGUUUUGCAAAAGCAGUCACUGCAGUACACUGUGAUUGCUGUAGAAUGCUGUAUCUGAAUAUACCCUUAUGACAUCUAAUAUUUUGUGAGGGGAGUGCACUCAUGAAACCAUGAUACUGGGCCCAAUGUCUUAAAAUGUAAAAAGUUGCUAGUUACCAAUUCCUAACCCAAAGACCCCCUCUAUUUAACCAGAGCGGAGAUCAGCUACAAAAACUGUCUCUCACUCUGGAGGACUCAACAUGUGUAAUGCCUAAUUUCUCCUGCGGUGGUUCUCUUGCAGAAUACAUCUGGUCACUGUAGGUCCUAGCAGUGGGACACUUUGCAUUCUGCUUGUUACUAGGGAGCCCUUCUAAUAAAAUUAAGAAUUAAGUGGACAUACCCUCUAACAAAAAUUACCCUGGUUGUAGCUUUUGAUAUAUAAUAUAC